rnacentral:rRNA from 1 species
AUACGUAGGGGGCGAGCGUUGUCCGGAAUGAUUGGGCGUAAAGGGCGCGUAGGCGGCUUUGCAAGUCAGUAGUGGAAGUCCAUUUUUCAAGGAUGGAAGUGCUACAGAAACUGCGGAGCUUGAGUGCAGGAGAGGUUAUCGGAAUUCCCGGUGUAGCGGUGAAAUGCGUAGAGAUCAGGAGGAACACCGGUGGCGAAGGCGGCUUGCUGGGCUUUUACUGACGCUGAGGCUCGAAAGCGUGGGUAGCAAACAGGAUUAGAUACCCUGGUAGUCCACGCUGUAAACGAUGAUUACUAGGUGUGGGGGGACUGACCCCUUCCGUGCCGCAGUUAACACAAUAAGUAAUCCACCUGGGGAGUACGGCCGCAAGGUUGAAACUCAAAGGAAUUGACGGGG